GCUGAGCUCAGUUGCGUGGGCUUGUGACCCGAGUGGGGGCAAUAAUGUGAUGGGACAAACAGUCAAUUUUGGUGUGUGAGUUUGGGCCAGUGCUGAUUGGGUCCAGCACUUCAUUCAACCUGGGUUUAGAGUGCGUGCUUCUAAAAAGCGGGAGCGCACCGAAAAAAUUGGCUUAACAGAGCAAGGCCGUAAGGUUGGGGGGCCAGUGCUCGUUCAAAUUUACCUUCAAUAUUGGCUUGAACCAUCACAUUU
rnacentral:SRP_RNA from 1 species